UACGAGGGGGGGCGAGCGUUGUCCGGAAUUAUUGGGCGUAAAGAGCUCGUAGGCGGUCUGUUGCGUCUGCUGUGAAAACCCGGGGCUUAACCCCUGGCUUGCAGUGGAUACGGACAGACUAGAGGUAGGUAGGGGAGAAUGGAAUUCCCGGUGUAGCGGUGAAAUGCGCAGAUAUCGGGAGGAACACCAAUAGCGAAGGCAGCUCGCUGGGACGUUACUGACACUGAGGCGCGAAAGCGUGGGGAGCGAACAGG
rnacentral:rRNA from 1 species